UGUUUAUUACGAAUUAUUGUGGCUAAUUACGAAAGUGUGUGGUGAGAGUUAUAAAUAAUGGUGGCUUGUUGCGCAAUUGGGUGAUGUUAGUUAAGAAUUCUUGUGGCUAGUUAUAAAAGUAUAAGAUAGUUAGUUACGAUUUUUUGUGGAUAACUAGUUAUAAACGUGUGUAGUGGUAGUUAUGAAUUAUUGUGACUAGUUAUAAAUUUUUGUGAUGUUGGUUACGAAAUUGGGUGGCGUUAGAUAAGAAUUCUUAUAAUUGUUAUGAAUUAUUGUGCCUAAUUACGAUAGUGUGUGGUGCUAGUUAUGAAUUAUUAUAAUUUGUUACACAAAUGUGUGGUGUUAAUUACGCUUAUUGUGGCUAGUUACAAAAUAAUGUGUUGUUAAUUAAUAAUUCUUGUGGAUUGUUACGAAUUAUUGUGCAUAGUUACGAAAAUGUAUGUUGAUACUUGUAAAUUAUUGUGGCUUGUUACGCAAAUGUGUUGUUAGUUACGAAUUGUUGUGACUAAUUAUGAAAUUGUAUAUGGGUAAUUAUGAAUUAUUAUAGUUUGUUAUAAAAGUAUGUGGUUUUAAUUACGGAUUAUUGUGGAUAAUUACGAAUAUUUGUGAUUAAUUACGCUCUUUAGGUAACCAAAAAGAUCUUCUAUGCAUGUAACCUUUAAUGCUGUUUUCAAACGAACUUUCAUUGGCCAAUCACGGUUUAAGUCUGUGACUUGAAAGUAUCCUUCUUUUUCAUGUUUCAUGUUCGAAAGCUCUUAGAAUUUCUUAUUAAAAUGUCUCAUAUUUAUUAAUUUUUUUUAUUUUUAGUAAUUUUUUAAAAAAUUAGAUGAGAAUUUUUACAAUUUUAAAUUUACUUUUGUCCAGCAACAAUAUAAUUUUUUUGCUCAUUAAAAUUAAUUAAAUACAUAAAAACUUAAAAAUCGAUGCAGUAAAAAUAUUUAAAAAAGAUCCAUCAUCGUCCAUAGACGUGUUUCUAUAUAAUUUCUUGUAGAUUCAUGAUGUUUCAAUAUUUAUAUGAUUCCCCAUCGAAACAAGAUAAGAAUGGAUCUCGUCAAAGUAUCGAUCGUGACAAAUUAUUUUAAAACCUAGAUUGGACUACUGAUUUUGAUUACAGAGCACGGCAUGACGUGUUUAUGGGAAUAAAUUUUAAACAAUUUAAAAUUUUUAACGCAUUAAACUCGUCAUAGAAAAAACAUAACAUAGCCCGGCACGAGCACGAUUAGGCAUCGUACGGACAACAAAACAAAAGAUGCGAAUGAGCCGAGCCAGGCCUAGAUUUUUAUCAAAUAAAAAACGACACAGCAUGAAAUAUGACAAACACAUAAAUAAAUAAGCCGAGUCGACACGGCACGACAUGUUUAAAACCUCUAAAAUUGUGUACUAGGUGUGUCAUAAGCUAUAAUACAACUUGUUGGAUUUUACCCACAAUCAAAAGCACAUACAAUUAACACGCAUGCACCAAAGAUUGAAUUAUCGUAUGUUAAUGUACAUUCGUAUCCCCUCAAAAAACACUUAUUGGUUAUAGUAGUAUUAACUAAUAAUAUGUUAAAAUUACAUAAAUUCGUCACUCUAAAUUAAAAUAAGUAUUGUAUUUCAUAUGUAAAAAUUACACAUUGAAUUUCAGAUGUAAAAUUCACCCCUAAAAUUAAAAAAUCCUCCAUUCCAUCCUUAAUUGCAACGGCGCACCAAACAGGAAUCUAAAUAUGUGAUUGAUUGUUUUGGACUGGAGGUCCUCUAUUUUACGAACUACUCACAAAAUUGAUAAACGUUUAGAUGAUGAACAAAAAUUACACUUGAAGGCAAUUUCAACACCAUUAAACUUCUACUUUGUGAUAUGAUAUAGACACUCUAUCAUCUUCUGACCUUUCUGAAAAAAUACCUGGUUUUGGACCCAUUUGAUUACAAAUCUGUUAGCACACCGGGUCUUGUUCACCUAUGAACGGCUCGAAUUGACGAACAUAAACAGCUCAAAUAUUUUUGCUUAUUUGUUUUCAGUGAGUUUUUUUUUUAAAAUUUAAAUUUCCGUUAUUCACAAGGAACAGAAAAUAAUGCAUUUUAAUCAGCAGGUAAAAAAGUUACUAAAAGAUACAAAAUAAACUUCUUAAAAAAACAUCAACAAACGAACCUAAAAAACCCAACCCUUCAACGAAGUACAAUAAGAGAAACAAAUUACAAUACUACCGACAAAUAGACUCCGUAAAAUAAAAACUAGGCAUAACUAUCUAGAAAUCACGUACAAAGAUGCACAAGGCAUCAUCUUGUUCGCACGUUAACAAAAUAAAAUCCCAAUCAUCCAAGUUUUUCCAAAUAAGAUGAUUCAAACUGCUUCAUGUAGUACUUAUGUAGUAGCUAAUCGUAGCUCACAUUCUACUUAUUUGGAGUCGAAAACCAAAACAAGUACAGUACAUUAAAUUUUUUCCAUCGUGAUCGCUAAGUCAAGAUGCUCUGUCAUCUCCUCCGUCAAAUGAUGUUAAAAUCUCCUAUUUGGCUUUCCUGAAAAAGUUUUGAUUCUCGAUCACAAUUUCAUACUAACCGCUCAGGCCGUCUUAUUCACCUCAAAUGCUAAAAUUCUUGAAACUACAAAGCUCAACUAUUUUUUCCCAACACCCGUUCUUCUCUUCAUCUAGGGAGAAAGGAACCCCCAUGAACUCGCCAGUGUCUUAAGGUAACUGCGGGCUCUCUCUUCAUAUCCUAGUUACUUCAAAAACAAUAUGUUAUUGAGCGGAUCCCGACUUGAUUCCAAUUACCCAACACGUGAUCCCAGAAAGACCAUCUCUGAAAACUCCCUCGCAAAAUAACUCGAACGCCUCGGGUUAACGAAGAGCCGGAGUUCCUUAGAUUUAAUUUUUUAUUUCAUGAAAUGCCACUUGGAAAACACGCACGUCUUUUGGGUCGCGCAAAUGUAAACAAACUUGCAUCCCAUAACGUGACAGAUUUAGGAAAUAGGACGUAUGGGAUGUGUGAGUAGCAAAGAGUCGAGGCGAAGGAAGGGCUUCAAGAUUGGCAGCAAUGGGAUCGAUAUUGAAUAUAUAAAAUCUAAGAAGGGGAAACAACUAUGGGGGCCAGAGUUGAGGCGAGGUGGGUGGAUAAAUCGUAUUGUGAGCGGUGUGAUGGUCCGCAGAACAUGAGAGCUCGGAGCCAUGUUGUGCCACACUUCAUAAAGGCGGCUAGGAAAUGUCAGUGGGUCGAGCCCUUGAAGUGGUUUUGCACCAAUAAGACUGCUUUUUAAGGCUCCAUUGGGGGGUAACCACUAACCAUCAACCCUUGGUACAGGACGAUUUCCUCGCUUCCUCCAACCUCGGCCUUUAGGAGCGUCGGUCAUCAUCGCAAGUUGUUUUUUCGCAACUUUUCUUCUUCUUCUUCUCUCUCUUCUUUUUAUUGUUGGUUGUGAGAUUGCAGCAUAGUUGAGGAGGGGAGGCUGCCAAUAGAAGAAGGAUUUGUUAGAACACAGGCCAAACAAGAAGGCUCAUAGUUUCUCAAGAGUAUGAGCAUUCAUCCUAUUAUAGAUCAAGGAUUGCCGGUGCCCAUGAGCAUUAAUACAAAAAGAAAUAUUAAGUAGUUUUGGAAAAAUAUAAAGAAAAUAAAUGUAUGUUUUAAUAUGUUUUUUUGAGUCCUACUAAAAAAAUGAUACAAUGAGUAAAACAUAUGAUCAGUUUUAUAGUUUUUUUUUUAAUUGGAUCAAAAUCUAUGUACGUCUCACACAUUUAAAAAGAAUGAAGUGAUAUAUUUAGGGGAUAGUCUUAGGUGAAAUCUCAACAAUUGAAUUAACUCAAAUGGAUAUCAACCGUAGAUAGUGGGAGAUAAUUUUUAGAUUCAAAAUAAGUUGUGUUUUAUAUUAUAAAUGAGGUGGAGAGAAAAUGAGUGUUUUAAUUUAAUUUUUUUGUAGGUUCCACUAAAAAAUUAUUCAAUGAGUAAAACAUAUGUCCAAUUUUAAAGAUUUUUUGACCAUUGGAUCAUAACUUAUGUGGGGCUCACAUAUUUGAAAAGAAUGAAGUAAUAGUUUUGAAAAAAAAAUAGUAUCAGGUGAAAUCUCAGCCGUUGGAUUAAUUUUAAUGGAUAUUAAUCGUAGAUAGCGGGAGAUAGUUUUGAGAAGUUAGGUUUUAUAGUAUAGAAGUUAGUUUUGAAGAUUUAAAAACAUGUGUGUCUUAUUUUUUAUCUUUUAUUGUCCUUAGGUAUGUGGUGUUAGUUACGGAUUAUUGUAGUUAAUUACGAAUAUUUGUGGUUAAUUACGAAAGUGUGUUAUGGUGGUUACGAAUUAUUGUAGCUACUAGUUAUGAAGUGUUUGGAGAUAGUUAUAAAUUAGUAGGACUUGUUAUGUAAUUGUAUAAUGUUAGUUACAAAUCAUCAAAAAUUUAGUGGAUAAUUACAAAAGUUUGUGAAUGUAGUUACGAAUUAUUGCAACUAGUUACGAAAGUAUUUAAUGUUACGAAUUAUUGUUGAUAGUUAUGAAUUUUUGUGUUUGUAUGAAAUUGUAUAAUUUUAGUUAUAAAAUAUUGUGCCUAGUUACAAAGUGUUUGGUAGUAAUUAUUAUUUUUUAGUAUAGUUACGAAUUAUUGUAGAUAGUUAUAAAAAUGUGCGGAGUUAGCGUAAUAACCAAUCAUAGUAAGCUUAAUAAAAUGUUUAUAAUUAUAACACAGCAUCUUCUAAAUUUUACGCAAAACGUGUGUGAGAGCGAUACAUACAAAAUCUAUUUCGUAAUGCGCCUAAAAGUUAAUUUUUUUUUUUAAAAUUUGCUAUUAAAAAGUCUAAAACUUUUUUAAUUUUUUUAAUUUUUCUAAUUUACUUUAGUUAAAAAUAAUAAAAAAAUUAAAACUCUAACUAACUUUUUUAGUUGUAAGUUUAAGAAAAACCAUCCGAAAAGCUAGAGGCACAAUGUUAGAUAUCAUGUAUAUAUGCCGGUUUGUUGACUCCGAUUCUCUGUCGGUCGUUUUUUUGGGGGAAACGUGUAGCAUUUCAAUUAUUGGUGGGCUCAACAUGGAGAAAUAUAAUAUCAUUAGCGUGAGUCAGGCCAGGAUGGAUGCAUCAUGCAGUGGUGGCCAACCUAGGGGUGUCAAAAAAAUAUUUGAAAACCGGUGAACCAGAUCCAAAUGAAUCGAAUCGAACUGUACUGUAUUUUUUGGAUUGAUUCUAUGAUUUAAUAGUUAGGUUUUGAUUUUUAAAAAUUAAGAACCGGUAAAUUUGAUUCGGUUACCGAAUUUUUACCGGUUAUAUCGAAUCAAAUUUACCAGUUCUUAAUUUUUAAAAACCAGAACCUAACCAUUAAAUUAUAGAAUCAAUCCAAAAAACAUGAUUCGAUUCGAUUCAGCUCGAUCUGGUUCACCGAUUUUUAAAUUUUUUUUAACACCCCUAUAUACUAGUAAUAGCCGUGUCCAACCGAUAAAGCGAUUGAUUUUGAUUUGAUUCAUAAAAAAAAACUUAUAAUGGUUAAGUUUUAGUCUUAUUUUUUCAGAACUGUAAAAAUAAAUAAUAUGAAUUCGUAUGGAACCGGCACUCAUCAAACCGUUGACACCCUUAAUUAAUCGCGUGAUGGCUGGGUACCAGCAUGUUAAAAAUUCGAUAGGGCGGUGAUAGAUCAAGCCAGACAACUGUUUUGGGAUAUAGAUCACGAUAUAGAUUCGUCUCGUACAAAAUUAAAAUAUUCCAUUCAUCCCUAAUUGCAAUGGCGUACCCAAUAUAAGAGGGAAAUUUUUUCACUCACGGUAAAGAUCCAUGAAUAUAAUCCAUAUGUAAUUUGGCUUUCUAUAAUUCUGUUUCGAUUCAUUGAAAAUAAAAGAGGUCGAGAAACUUAUAAAAUGGACCAUAUUUCAAUAAGAACACUAGCAAAAAAAAAAACUUUUUUAUUGCUUACUUUUAUUUAAUUUAUUUUCGUGAAAUUUAAAAAAAAUCAAUUCCUUACUCAAAAGGACCCGGGAAAUAAUACAUUUGAUAAACAGAUAAAAAGUUUACUGAAAGCAAACAAUAAAACUUCUUAAAAAAACAAACGAAACCUAAAAAAAACAACACACACACACUAAUUACAAUAAGAAAACUAAUUACAAUACCACCAACAAAUGCCCUCCGUAAAUAAAAUAGCCAUACAUAUCUAGAAAUCACACAAAAAGAUGCACAAGGCAUCAUUUUGCUAGCACAUUAACGAAAUAAAAAUUCACAUCCAAGUUCCAAUAUAGAUGAUUCAAACUACUCAUGUAGUACGCUAAUCUUGUAGAUUAGCUCACAUUAGCUAAUUAUUUUUGAAUCGAUGCACAAAAGAUAUGUCCAGUCCAUUAACUUUUUCAUCGUGAUGGAGUCAAGAGGAUCUGUCAUCGGACUCCGUCAAAUAAUUUUUAAAAUCUCCAUUUGGCUUUCAGAAAAGUUUUGAUAUCGAUCACAAUUUCAGCCACCUAAAAAACCGCUCCAACCUCGUCUUGUUAACCUCAAAGUGCUCAAAUUCUUCAAACUACAAAGCUCAAACUCUUUUUCCACCACCCCUCUUCCUCUGGGGGGAAAACGCCAUGAACUCUGCCAGUGUCUUACGGUAAAUUGCGGGCUCUCUCUUCAUGUCCUUGUACUUCAAAAACAAUAUGUUGUUGGGCGAUUCCUGACUUGCUUUCCAAUACCCAACACGUGAUCCCAGAAAGGACCAUACUAGGAAACUCCCUCGCAAAAUAACUCGAAUGCCUCGUAACGAAAGAGGCGGGAGUCCUUAGAUUUAUGUUAUUCAUGAAAUGCCAAUGGAAAACAAGCACGUUUUUGGGUCAUGCCAAAUGUAGACAAACUUGCAGCCACCUGAGUGACCAGAUUUAGGACAAUAGACUGUAUGGAUGUGGUAGCAAGAGUCAAAGGCGAAGUGAAGGGCUUCCAAGAUUGGUAGCACUCGGAUAGAAAUUGGAAAAUAUAAAAUCUAAGAAGGGAAAACAAAUACGGGGGCGGCGGUGGGUGGAGAAUCGUAUUGUGAACGGUUGAUGGUCGCGAACAUGAGAGCUCGGAGCCGGUUCGUGCCACACUCAUAAGGCGGCAGGAAAAUUUCAGUGGGUCAAGCCUUGAGUGGUUUUGCACCAAUAGGAUGCUUUUAAGCCCCAUUGGAGGGUAACAGCACCCUUGGUACAGGACCGAUUCCUUGCUCCUCCAGCAUCAAGUUGUUUUUCGUACUUUUUUCUUUUCUCUACCUUAUUUUAUUUUGGUUGUGGGAUUGCAGCUUGUUGAGAGGGGAGGCUUGCGUAGAGGAGGACUUGUAAAAACACUAGCCAAACCAGAAGGAUCGUAGUUUCUCAGAGUAUGAGCAUCAUCCAUAUAUUUGUUUUGGGAAAUUUCACGACCUCCCAAGAUUUGAGCUAAACAAAUACCGGCACUUCUCUAUAGUUCAAAAAAUAAUACUUACGUCUCUUACUUUGAAAAAUUAAUGUCAAGAUAUCUUCUUAAAGCUAAUUUUGUGUACAAAUGGCAAUCUUGCCAUUUAUAUUUUUAAGGUGAGUGCGAUUGAACUUUUUUAAGAAUCAACCUCAAAGAAGAUAAGGUAAAAAC
rnacentral:lncRNA from 1 species